UGGCACUUUGCUAUAACAGCCCAAAUGGACUAAGAAUGUAUGAUGAGCAGGUCAGAAGAAAGAGAAACACAUAGAUCAGGGAGCAUUCAUAAUCUAGAGCAGCAGGUUGCAAACCAAUCAGACUUGCACUCUUGUGAUGAUGUAAAUUCCUCACUGAAGGCCAUGGGAGCAAAGAAAAGAAAGAGGAAAGCCAAGGAGGGGAUGCUACAACUGGAAGAGAGACACAGACAAGCAGGAUGCUAAGUUAAUCAUACUAGUCUAGGCCAUGGGCCAGUGGCUGAGGAAAAGAAGACCCCACAUUUCCUUUUAAGAAAAUGAAAAUAGUUUUCAUAUAGUUUGGCCUUUUGGUUAAUCAUGUUACAUAAAUUUAAAAGUGUAUCUAGAACAUUGCCUCAUCAUGAGAAGCUACUGAUGGAACAGAUUGAUGAAGUGGGAACAAUGUUCAUCAGUCUCCAUGUCUGGGGCUUGGAAUUAGCCAUCACAGACAUGAGGACACAAGCCCUUUGCAUUUGGCACAAAUCUCCUGUUCUGUUUCCCUGCAUUGGGUCUACAGGCCAAAUGUCUUGAAGACAAAAAUCAGUGAUGAAGGCCAAUUGUCAGAGGGAUGGCUGUUUUCAGUGCUAUUGUUAUGACAACUCUGACUUCCAAGAGGAUUAUUAAGAAAAAAGGCCAUCUCUUUGAAAUCUACAUCAAGUUGUUAAGGCAACAAACCCAGGAUUAAAUCUGGAAAUGUUUGCUCUGCCACCCCCUUCCUCUACCCUAUGAUCUAUUUCACAUGUUCUUGUUGUUGGUGCCAGCUAACAGAUCAUUGCUACAUCUCUGCCACCUCGUGCCAGCAAUCAGAGACAAAGUGUGGAUUGAAAUGGCAUGGCCAUGUGCAUUUGUGUGUAUGUUACAUGAGUAGGUCUGUGGGUUUGUGUGCAACUCUGGAAACAGUUCAUCAAAUUUCCCCCUUAAUUUUCUUUGUCAUAUUUAACCAAAGAGACAGCAGUUCCUUAUCUAGAUUAAAGAAAGGACAUCGAGAAAAGUUCAGCUGCACUUAGUGGAUUUCAGCAGAUGCCUGGCUUCCAAAUCUGGGUGAAUCACCUUGAGGGGUGAUUUUUUGGCUGUACAGAUGACUUAGUCCAACCAGACCAACUCAAUUAGAAGCUCAGGAAGUAGAGCUCUGGAGCCUGAUUUUCAACCAUCCCACCAGCCAUUUGGGAUGGCUUCCUCGGGACCUCCUCUUCAGGAAAUCACUGCCUUAGGGCAUUCCAUCCUUGCUCUGUAAGAAAUACCAAGUGAUUUUCAAGAGUUGCAGGAAUGUUCCUGGCAAGGCCUGUAAGAAAAGGGAGCAUCUCACCUUGAUUGCUGGCCUGGUCUCUGAUGGACACCAGCUCCACCCACUGCUCCCAAUGCUGCAGCCAGCUCUGCCUGUGCCCAGCCAGAAACACCUCUUUCUGCCACAUACUGGAAGCAAGGGAGGAAGGUGUCCUGGCAAGUCAAUUUCCAAGAAAUUCCAGCUCUUGGCCUCCUUGGUACCCAAGGAAGACCUCUUUGAAAAUGUGACAUCAAAGCUGAAACCCAACGAUUCAAAGGAGCCAUCCAGAUAGAAGAGGGUAAGUGCACCAGAGGAAAAAACAUAUGCCAAGGACCUGAGACAGGGAACUUGACCUAUUUAGGGAAAUGAGAAAAGACCAACCUGGUUGGACCUCAUGGAGAGGAGGCCGGUGAGUGGGCUGGUGAAAUAUUUUGAAAGAUGCCAAUAAACACUG